UCGAAAAUUAAAUUAUAAUUGGACAACUAUUGAUUUUUUCACCCAAUAAAUAAUUGAAUCCCAAUUACAUUCUCAUCAAUUCAAUUAACAUGAUUUGCCGGAAAAUUUAUCAGGGCAAGCUCCCCAAUUCCGUCCUCCGGCAGACCAUUUUCCGGUGGUUUCAGUCUUCUGUUGAAACUCCGGUGACGCCUGUUACUUCGACUGUAUCUAGUGGCAAGAGAAUUCAGUCUCAACUUCACUUUCUUAGAAUCUAUACGCCGCCGUUUUGCUCAUAUACUAAGUCAAAUGCUUCAUUUACUCUAAGAGGGUGUGGUUUUUCAACUCAAGCUGCGUUGGAUAUUCCUGUUGAUGGGAUAAUUGAUAUACCUCUGGCGCAAACUGGUGAAGGCAUUGCGGAAUGUGAACUUAUCAAAUGGUUUGUUCAGGAGGGGGACCAGGUCGAAGAAUUCCAACCUCUUUGUGA
rnacentral:misc_RNA from 1 species